UCAAACAGAAUAUGAGACACUCUGUAAAAAUAUAUACUUCUACAAUUGAUUCUUCUAGACAUACCUUAUUUCGCACAUAUUGUUUUAACUUAUACAAGAAUCUACACAUACAAAAUGAUGAAAAAAAUAUAAAUUAUACAUAAUUAGAAUUGUAAUGGUUAUAAAUUAAGUAAAAAAAUUAAUUUUUUAUAAUAUUAUUAUCGCUCAAUAGGAUAUAUCCAUCGAUACUGAAUUGGCCCG
rnacentral:lncRNA from 1 species